ACGAAGGGAGCUAGCGUUGUUCGGAAUCACUGGGCGUAAAGCGCACGUAGGCGGAUGUGUCAGUCAGGGGUGAAAUCCCGAGGCUCAACCUCGGAACUGCCCUUGAUACUGGGGAUCUCGAGUCCGGAAGAGGUUGGUGGAACUCCGAGUGUAGAGGUGAAAUUUGUAGAUAUUCGGAAGAACACCAGUGGCGAAGGCGGCCAACUGGUCCGGCACUGACGCUGAGGUGCGAAAGCUAGGGGAGCAAACGGG
rnacentral:rRNA from 1 species